GCUUACGGCCACACCACCUGGUUCACGCUUGAUCUCGGAAGCUAAGAUAGGUUGGGCCUGGUUAGUACUUGGAUGGGAGACCGUCUGGGAAUACCAGGUGCUGUAAGCU
ensembl:rRNA 5S_rRNA 5S ribosomal RNA